GAGGCAUGAAACCACAGCAACUCCAAAAUACCAAAACGGUGGCUCACUUUUCCACAAGCUAAAGGUAACGCGUAGGCUCCUCUGCAAUUCAUCAUUCGUUUAUCAACUUUAUCAUGCGCGUGAUGAGUGAAUGGGAGUGGAAGCAAGAUAAGAGCAAUGUCUUCUUUUUAAGGCUGCUAGAAGAAUGAUCGAUACAGUUGUAUUCUAUACUGGGUUCCUGGUAGCUGCAAAGAAAGACUUGUGCCUAUAGCCUCUAAGUGGAUGGAUGUCUGCUGUGAUGUGGGACUGGGAUACCACUCCGAACCAAACCCUAAGAGACUCUAUGUAAGUGCCCUUUUUUACCGUUGCAUUUGUGCAGGGUUCAAUACUUCUCCUAACAAUGGCAUCAUUUCCUAUAUAUUUGGGCAUUGCAAUACCAAUACUAAAUUAAUAAUGUCUUGAAUUGCAAUAUUAUUGAUCCCAUUUUGGAGAAGAUUGCUCUUCCCUUUUGAGUGUUCUAAGUGUGCCAGAGAAACGAGAAACUGGCACCAUGCUAUUGAAUUUAGGGGCAGAUGUUUUAGCAAUUGAACAUAUACUAGAACCCUUUUAGUAUUAAUUCUUAUUUCCUAAUAUGAUCAUAUAAACGUAUGGUCAAGGCAUUUAGGGGAAGAAACAAGAAUUUGAAAUGUAAGAUGCUAAAUUCCUUAAUUAAUAAUGUAUGAAACAAUCAGCUACGUUCUCCGUUCAAAUUUCCAGACUGACCUGGUAUUAAGUCUAUAAUAGUUUAGAACUUGAGAUUUACCCUCAUAAACUCGAUGCUUCAUCAUAAAAGCAUCUCUUUGUUUGAACUUCUUUUUCGUUGAAAAAUAUGAUGUGUCAGCAUGAUAUGAACGGAACCUAAAUAAUUAGAGUUCUAUGAUAGUCAUCCACUAGAUGAACACAUACAUUGCAAGUUUGAAAUCGUUUGAUGGUGUUGUCAUCAUUUUCUCGAAUAUCAUCAUUAAUUGUGCGCAUUUCAGGUGAUUCAUCGAAGUUUCUAUCAUUCUAAGCCUUGAUGUAUACAAGGUCUCAAAUUACUCAUCUCCAUACAAUGUCUUGCUAUUGAAUGGAAUCAAUUGUCUAGGGCAAUCUCAUUACUAUAAUUUUAAUUAGGAGAAACCAAUAAUGGAUUACAUAUACAAUGGAAGCAAAUGGUGAGAAACUGGCCUUUAUUGAUGCAAUAGAACAUAUCCUUCUCUAUAAUUUGGCAAGAAGGUAUGAGGAAUGCUUGUAAAGCUUGUGAAAUACUCAUGCUUUAAAACUAUCAUCUAUAACCUACUUAAAAGCAUAUGAUUCCUGUAAUUGUAUACCAUGGAAAAAACAGAAGUUCAAGCAAAAUUUGAAUGCCAGUAGGUUAUACAUUUUUCGUCCUAUAGGAUUAAAAUAAUUAAUGAAUUUAUUUAAGAGCCAUGUGUCCUAUUCUUGAUGCUACUAUUAGAGCAGACCAUAAAUAUUUUUAUGUUCCGUAAAUUCCUAAAUAAGUUUUUCGUGUGAUUAUACAGGGGUUAUUACAUCUCUAAUAGCUAAUUAGUUGCAUGUUUUGCUGUGAUAUGACUACUCAUGCGCAACAACUUGCGGAUCUCAUUGACAUCGAAAAUGUUUCAUGAAUACAUAGAAGUGCUUUAUCAAGUGGAUGCUGAAUGCAACAUUCAUGCCCUAAAUGGGCUCUUGUCGAGCGCGAAUAGCCACUGGUGUGUUGCCCACUGAUUCUGCAUAGCUAUUAGACCCACGCAAACGGUGAUGAGGACCCUGAAUGACCUACUAGGAAUCUUCUGUCACCUAUGGAAGAUUUUCGUAGAUUCUUUGGCUCAUAGAUCCCAAUACCGUCUUCUCAAAAUUUAAUGAGCAUGCAAUUGAAUGCUUUCACCACCUUGGACAUUUUAUUGUAUGGUGGGCUUGGGGUACCCCAGUUAAGGGACCCUUUUCUCACAAUGGUGCAGUUUAAAGGGAAUGUUAAUGGAGACCUGUGACUCCCAUGAACGUGGAUACUUAAAGUGCAAAAGCAAUAAAUGAAGAGAGAGAGAGAGAGAGAGAGUCAAAGAUGGUUUUGAUUGAGGAUAGUAUUUGAGGCUUCACGCCACAAUAUAUCUUAGAUGCUAAAACACUUGCUCUACAAGAUAAGCAUGACAUUUUUUUUUGUGAGUUGUCAUUCCUUUGUUCUUGUUUUGAUAGGAGUCCCAGGGUCAAAUUCCACCAGGCUUGUGUAUUGGUGGCUAUUAUUGGAUAUAAGAUUAUGAUAUUUUGUUUUGUCCAGGGAUAUGGUUGUUCCUUGUGCUUUAGGUAUCUGGCAACCAUUGGAAUUGACUGAUCUAAGCAAACACACAAGCCAUUAAGUUAUCUCUUGUGCUUUUUCAUGUGUAUUUGUGUGGAUACUGUCCAUAUGGUUCUUGGUAUCUUGUUUCAUCCAGGGAUUUACAUGUUCCAUGUGUUAUUUCAUGUCUGGCAACUAUUGGAAUCGACUGAUCACGCAACUCCAUUAGUGGUGAAACUAUUGUGUGUUUCGCUUACAUAUGUGUAUAAAGUGCAAAGUUGUGCUGGUGAACUCUAUUUUCUUCUUUGCAAUCUCUCUAAUGCAAGUACGCAGAACUUUAGGCCAUUCUCUUCAGUGCCUUGAACCCUGAACCCUUAACUAACCGAAUGGAGUUGGGCAUGCAUUAGCUAAGACACCUACCUGAUUCUUUCUUUCUAGUUUUUUGGGCUUAGACCCACUUCUUUAACCCAAAAAAAAAAAAACUGAAUGGCGGCUUGGGUGCAUGAAGAUUAAUCUGGAUGAACAGAUGCGGUUGCAUUAUAUUGAUAACUUUGAAAGGAGAAAUGUUGUAUAUAGAGUAGGGUUUUGCUUUCCCAAGUCCUACCUUUCCUCAGUAGAAGCAGAUGCUAAAAAAGGGACAAUUUGUUGCCUUCCACAAUUAUCCCCUUUAAGCAACUUGAAUUCCCAUAUCUGGUUUUCAAGCACUACAUCAAAUCAUCUCCCAUGCACAUAAUUUCUAGCAGGAAUCGAAUUCUGGAGAGCAUCUUUUCCCCUUUUGGGGCGUGCUGGUGCAACACCAUUGGUUUAAAUACCCGGCAUAGCUACAGAUUCAUGAAAUACUCCAGUUUUAUAUUUCUUUUUGAUUGCUUGAUGAAGGUCAUGUCUAUGAUGUUAAAUAUAUAAAAUUCUCUAGAUAAGGCCGAGGCCAGCAUGUGGAUCUAUUGAUAUGGUAUUUAAUUAGUACUAUCAGGUGUCUUUCCAAGAA